rnacentral:tRNA from 1 species
UAAAGGAUGGUGUUAUAGCACGUGGCUUUUUGGUGGCCAAUGGGGCAACGAAUUGCCUCCUUUUU